UUUUAGUCACUCCAUGAACGCAUACUGGUUAGUGUUAGUCAUACUAUUUAUGUACAUCUCAUUUGCUGUCAAUUCUUGCUUAUAAGUUAUUGGAUCCCUCAUUGGCUACUGUUUGAUGUUCUGUACAUAUUCUUAUUCUUAUAUGUUCAUUCUUGUUUUUUGCACGGGUGAAGUGCGAAUCCAAGUUCGAAGCUGUGAAGCAUAUCAACAAAGACUAGCAUAUUAUGUGUUGUAAAUGUAGGCAGUAGUAGGCUUAUCUGGGCUGUAGUAUACUGUAACGUUUGUAAUAGACUAGUGCCGUGUUGUUUUGGACGAAUUUCAUUUGCUAUUUGGAUUGUUUGGAAUAAUGAUUGUGUAUGUGAUUUGAAUACCCGAGAUCGGAAGAG